rnacentral:lncRNA from 1 species
GCUCCCCGGCGGGAGCCCGCGCGUGGUUCCCAGCGAAGUCCCCGCGCGGCUGGGCCCAGCGUGAGUAUUCUCCGCCCGCUGUCCUCCCCCUGGAGGCGGCAGCGCCCGUUUAUUUGAGGAGGAUGAGGCUGUCACUACUACAGUUGGGACUGUUUCAUACUCCGUGCUCUUGUGCUAUGCCAGGGGGUACUGUCUAACCCACAAGUCUCUGCCAGGAAUGUUGCUGUCCACACUGGAGUGUAAGACACCUGCGGAGCUCGUCUAUGGGGCUCAUGUUGGCUGAGGCUCUGAACUACAGAACUGCAAACAACCAAGGGAGCGCCCCAGGCCCCAGGCUUCUAAUGUGAGGAAAAACACGGAAUGACAAGUGUGGGAAAGAGCAAGCACUAAAUUACUGUCAGAAAAAUAAACGGAGUAGCACAGUGCUGCUCGGUGAUUUACGGGGGCAAUUAGUCACCACCCCACGGCGCUGCUGAGGACAGCACGGCAGCAGACAAGUCAGGCCCAUGAGGAAGAAGAGGCUUUGCACUGCUCUCCAGACAACUUUUCAAACAACAAGAGAGGAUAUUUGAGCACAUUAGGUUUUGUGUCUUCAUUCUGGCCGUGUGAAGAUGUGCCUGCUUCGCCUUCCAUCAUGACUGAAGUUUCCUGAGGCCUCCCCAGCUAUGCUCCCUAUACAGCCUGCAGAACGGUCGGCUGCCUCCAAUCCUGAGGUCAUCACUCAUCAAGAGGGGAUAAUCCCAGGGACAGCAGGAUCUGCUUCGUUACUUGGAUUUAGGAGCCAGAAACCCAUCAGGCAACUAAACAGUAACAAUGACCCGCCAUUAAACACACUGAGAGAAGAGCAUGAUGAAGAGUUUGUACAAGAAGAAGCCAGGAGCACUUGCUGACAAUGCUUACAGAGACGCAGGCUUCUAUGAGCUCUGCCUGUUGAACUGCAGUAAAAAUAGAUCUCCUUCCCCAGAGAGGCUUGGAUGUGGGCACAAUAUCAGUUCAGACGAUGGUCAAUGCAUGUACUUAAUAGAGUGAAAAGACUUUGGACUGUGAAGUCAGAUUACCUGGGUCUGAAUUGUUAUUCUUCUACUUCUUUGUAGUAUGCUUUCACCACAUUAAAAAUUGUCUGAGCCUCAA